CAGGUACAUUGAGGCUUUGCUCACCGUGUAAUGAGGUAAACAUCUCAAGGCUAAUUUGUUAUUUAUAGCCUUAGAGCGGUGCUGGUGGCGCGUGCAUUGUGGCGAGUUGGCGGCGGAGAUCGAGUUCAGUGAUAGCAACAUUAGCCGGUGGCUGGAUGAUAUGUAUAUGUAUAUUGAGCCGCGGUACCUGUGAAUAAUCAUACCACUUCGCGUCUGGUGUUUGUUCAACCCAAUGGAGCCAGUGAGUCUUGGUGGGACAGAGGAGGCUAGCUGCAUUUAUUCGGUGGUGUGUACUUCACAGCGUGCUCGGUGCACCAACACAACAACUUCCUUAUGGUGUAGGUAGUGUUUUUAUUUUAGUGUGACUUGAGGUGGGUUUGGAUGACCUCCCGAGCUGUAGCUGGCCUGCCUUGUUCCUGCCAAGCCUGGGCCUGGAGAAGUGCUUAGUUUUAAAAUCCUUAUUGUGCUUCAUGGAAGAGUGAUUUUUAUAUUAAGUUUUAAUGAUGCUUAAGUGUCAUAAUAAAAUGUAAUUUUUAUAUUCA